rnacentral:misc_RNA from 1 species
GUUUGUGAGGUGAUCUUGAGAAAGAGAGAGGGUAACAAAGCCCACAAAGAGCUUGUUAACAGAUAGAUUUCAGGAAGGAUUUUAUGAUCCCAUAAGAGUAAUAAAAUAGGUAGAGAUUGGAUAGAGCACAGUUACAAAAGAGAUGGUAUGAGGCCCUGAGCUUAUAGUUCCAGUUACAGAGGAACUACUAAAGAAUUAAAAUGAUAAGCCAAUAAGUGUUUGAUUAUCAAAGGUACAUGAAUU